GACGAACGCUGGCGGCGUGCUUAACACAUGCGAGUCGAACGGAAAGGCCCUGCUUUUGUGGGGUGCUCGAGUGGCGAACGGGUGAGUAACACGUGAGUAACCUGCCCUUGACUUUGGGAUAACUUCAGGAAACUGGGGCUAAUACCGGAUAGGAGCUCCUGCUGCAUGGUGGGGGUUGGAAAGUUUCGGCGGUUGGGGAUGGACUCGCGGCUUAUCAGCUUGUUGGUGGGGUAGUGGCUUACCAAGGCUUUGACGGGUAGCCGGCCUGAGAGGGUGACCGGCGACGUCGGUGGCGGCACCGGGCCCAGAGGGCGCCGGGGGGGAGUAGGGGGGAAGGACGCGGCGGGGGCGAAGGCCUGACGCCGCAGUGCGGCGGGGGGUAGGGCGCGCGUGGGUGUUAAGCCGCUUGGCCGGGGGGAGGAAGGGUGGGUGGGGGAAAGGAAAAAAUAACCCCCGGCAAACAACGCGCCAGCUGCGGCUUAAAGAUCGAACAGCACACACCUACC
rnacentral:rRNA from 1 species